GGGCCCGCACAAGCGGUGGAGCAUGUGGUUUAAUUCGAUGAUACGCGAGGAACCUUACCAGGGCUUAAAUGGGAAAUGACAGGGGCAGAGACGCCCCCUUCUUCGGACAUUUUUCAAGGUGCUGCAUGGUUGUCGUCAGCUCGUGCCGUGAGGUGUCAGGUUAAGUCCCGCAACGAGCGCAACCCCUAUCUUCAGUUGCCAUCAUUUAGUUGGGGACUCUGGAGAGACUGCCCGUGUAAGCGAGGAGGAAGGCGGGGACGACGUCAAAUCAUCAUGGCCUUUAUGCCUAGGGCUACACACGUGCUACAAUGGCAGGUACAGAGGGCAGCGAAGUCGCGAGGCUAAGCAAAUCUCAAAAAGCCUGUCCCAGUUCGGAUUGGAGUCUGGAACUCGACUCCAUG
rnacentral:rRNA from 1 species